rnacentral:lncRNA from 1 species
AAACCUUUCCCCACCUCUUCUCACUUGUAACUACAUCUGUUGAAUAUUUUCUUUUAUUUGGGAACUUGGAACCCACAAUAUUUUGUGUUAAAAUAGUUUUCUUCCCGUAGUUCCUUCAAGUAACUGAGCUCCUCGAAGGCCUUUGUUCUUUCUUCUGCGGACUUAGACCCUCAAAACUGUUGUCAACUUUGUAUCCUCAUUUUUCCUUACCUUGUUCCUUUUUCCUUCCUUUUUCUUUUAGUUUUGCGAUUUUGGUGACUAUAGUUCUCAUAAAUAAGAAACCAAUGUUCUUUUUUGUGUUUUUUUGCCUUCAUUCCAUACCCCUUCGAUCCUUCUGAAUGAAUGGAUCGACUUCCCUCGGGGUUUCUUCCACUCAGAAGGUCGGCAAAUCCCUUCCUCUUCCCCAUGCUGCCAUCGCAUGUGCCGCUUCAUUUGCUUCCCAAGGUAUGUGUCGAAAUAUAAGACUUUUAAAGUUUCUUGCUUUGGUUUUAAUUUCUUCAAUAAUUCCUCUGAUAACUGACCGAUCAAUAUAAUCAUUAUUUUUUUGGAGCUUUUUGAUGACGGUUAGUGAAUCUCCUUCUAAAAUGAUGUCUUGAAACCCUAAAUCUUCUGCGAAAGCUACUCCAUGAAGGCAUGCAUAGGCUUCUACUAUUGUUGGAUAUCGUAUGUUCUUAAUCAGGUAGGUGCAUGAACCCAUUACAAAACCUUUGUAUUUCUUACUAUGAUUCCAGAAUCUGCCUUAUUAUUUGGCUUCUGAAAACCAAUGUCGAAAUUAACUUUGACUUGGUCUUCUGAUAAGGGUGUCCAUUGUGGAUUUUGUAUUUUGUGGUUGUUUACAAGAAUAUUGUCCAACAUUUUAAUUUCAUUAAUAAAGGUUUUGAUGAAAUUUAUGAUGUUGUUAAUACUUUGUCAAACACCUUCAUGAUAAAACAAAUUUCUGUUGUGCCAAAUCGCCCAGAAUAGACUGCUAAGCAUAUUUUUAUGUUCUUUAUUAUUGGAUUUAAAAGUAUUGGCUAAUCAAAUUUUCCACUCUUUCUUAUCAUGCAUGUUUGCGAUUUGAACAUUCAUCUUCUGGAGAACAAGCUUUGCAACGUAAUAAUCGUGGAAGAAAUGUGCCGUUGAUUCUUCGUCUUCACCACAUGUCGGGCACAGCGCUUCAAAUCUGAGUUUUCAAAAUUUAAGAUUACUUAGAGUAGGAAUGAAAUUGUUUGUAAUCUGCCAUAGGUUGAUUUUAAUUUUGUUGGGAAUUUUUAGACCCCAUAGUGUUGUAUAAUAAUUUUUCAUUUGGUCUGUCACUAUUGUAUUUUCAUUUCCCAGCAAAUUUAAAUCUUCAGUAAGACACCACUUGUAUCCACUCUUUUCCGUGUAUUCACUAGUAUUGUCUCCUCACCAGACCUUAGUGUCUGGCUGCAAAGUGUUCCACAGAGGGAUGGAUCGAAUCCUUUCUAUUUGGUCUUCAUAAAAAAGAUUUCUUAACACAUCUUCCUUCCACGUAUUUAAAUUUGUAUUAAUU